rnacentral:rRNA from 1 species
GACGAACGCUGGCGGCGUGCUUAACACAUGCAAGUCGAACGAUGAAGCCGGAGCUUGCUCUGGUGAAUUAGUGGCGAACGGGUGAGUAACACGUGAGUAACCUGCCCUUGACUCUGGGAUAACUGCUAGAAAUGGUAGCUAAUACCGGAUACGACCCUCGGAGGCAUCUCCAGGGGGUGGAAAGAAUUUCGGUCAAGGAUGGACUCGCGGCCUAUCAGCUAGUUGGUGAGGUAAUGGCUCACCAAGGCGACGACGGGUAGCCGGCCUGAGGGGGUGACCGGGCACACUGGGACUGAGACACGGCCCAGACUCCUACGGGAGGCAGCAGUGGGGAAUAUUGCACAAUGGGCGCAAGCCUGAUGCAGCAACGCCGCGUGAGGGAUGACGGCCUUCGGGUUGUAAACCUCUUUUAGUAGGGAAGAAACGAAAGUGACGGUACCUGCAGAAAAAGCACCGGCUAACUACGUGCCAGCCGCCGCCGUAA